UACAGAGGUCUCAAGCGUUGUUCGGAAUCACUGGGCGUAAAGGGUGCGUAGGCGGCACGGUAAGUCGGGUGUGAAAUCCCUCGGCCCAACCGAGGAACUGCGCCCGAGACUGCUUCUCUUGAGUCCCGGAGAGGAAGAUGGAAUUCCCGGUGUAGCGGUGAAAUGUGUAGAGAUCGGGAGGAACACCGGUGGCGAAGGCGGUCUUCUGGACGGUGACUGACGCUGAGGCGCGAAAGCGUGGGGAGCAAACGGG
rnacentral:rRNA from 1 species